ACGUGACUUAUAAAUGAUUUUAAAAAUUAUAAUUUAUAAAAAAUACGUCUGGAGCGCCUUUUUAGACCUGGACAAGGGAUGGAUAUUCGAUGUGGAAUCCAUAUCAGUGAGACUAUGAGCGGCUGCACAAUCUGAAUCGACCAUGCUUGAGUCUCCCCCGUCCAUAAUAAAGUCAUAAAACUUAGGUAAAAAAAUUAUCAUAUAUUAUUUAUCAUUAUUAUGUAUGUACUCUUAGUUACUUCUCUAUUCGUCUUCGCGUUAGAAAACAACGCUUAAACACUUUGCACUAUUUAAAACUGCAUUGAGAAGCAUCUUAGAAAUGCAUUCAAUCGUCAAUAAAAUUGUGACUGCAACCAGCACACAAUCAGCAAUGGUUUAGUUAAUUCGUAAGUGUACAGAGAGAAUCGCAGGAAUGCACAUAAUGUUCAGUUUUUUUAGCUUAAAAUUAAUACAAAAUGCGUGAAAUGGACUUGAAUUUUGCAUGUGUCUACAGAGUUUCAUAUUGCAAACAUAAAAUGGAACUGGAAAGCCAAGUUUUUGGGGGUCAUCCUCAGCGGACGUUGCACAUAUUGCCGGGGAUAGUUAUAAUUCAGCUAUGAAAGGAGUUUUGGGAAGGAUAUAGAAUUUAGAUCCAGAGUUCCAGAAAGAAGUAUCUUCAGAUUUGUUUUUAUUGCUACUGUCUGUCACAUGGAACGGUUUACGCAGCGCGAAUCGACUGAAUGAUCUGGAAAAUAGCCGAGCCGCAGACAACAAAGAUGAACAGCGCCAAGAGCCAGGGUCCAACGGGGUACUGUCCCUCUUUCGCUUUCUGAAAAUGCCAAUUAUAAAUCAGAAUUAGUCAAUGCAUCACAGAUAUGCACAUUAGAUGGAGAGCCGGGCCGGUGUAUGAGCUGACGAACGCAACAGCUAAUCACGAAGAAGCGAUAACAUUCGCCACCCAUACAAAAACUUCCUCCACGCUUACGCACACUGGCGCACGCACACAGCAGCAGCAAGCAAUAAUAAAAUCAAUGACGGCGUGGCACUUUUUAAGAUUGAAUGUAUCAGGCUAAGCUCGUGCGAGGUGCAUUCCAUGCAUUUUUGAUUCGAGCUAAUUACAUUUUGAACCAAAACUUACCGAGGAUUUUGGUACAUUGCCACGCAUUGUCACAUAUUUGCUGGCCUUCUCGUUGGCGACGCGCAUUCUCUGUGGAGGAGCCAUUUUAUGUGUUGUUGUGACU